rnacentral:sRNA from 1 species
AAGUCAGAGGAGGUCAUUGAUGUGUCGGAGGGCGAGAUGAGCGAAGUCUCAUCACUUAUUGGAUUCGUCGGCGGACCCAGGGAUCCCGGUUGCAGUUAUGGGUGAGUGUGAUUUUUUUUUUUGACUUCCGCACAGUACUAUGCAGUAGGCGCGGUACGCGACGGAGGUUGCAUAGGUAGCCCAUGAAGUGUCGGCUGCUGAAACGGUAAAAUGGCUUUAUUCAAAAGCACCCGACAUCUUCCAGGCGAAACCAGCUUAGCUAUGUGCUAGGGAUUCUAUGAGAGGCAGGCACGGCCUAAAUUCUGCGUCCGACAGUUUUUGGGUUCCGCGCCACGCUGCACAGAAGGGGUUGACGCGAGGCAGGUGGAGGUCGCAUAGGUAGCCCGUGAGACGUCGGCUGCUCAAAUGGAGAAAAAUGAUAUUUUAAUAAUGAAGAAGCACCCGACAUCUUCCAGGCUAAACCAGCUUGAGCAUGUACGGGUUAGCGAAACCCGGUAAAUGUCGGGCACUUCCAAAAUUAUUUCAUUUCUGCGGCCAAAACUAUGUAGCCAGGCUACACAAACUCCACACCUAUAAAACAACCUUCAGAUCUAAUUUUCCGCAGCGCUAAAACUCAAUGGAAAACGUGCGCUUUUGCAAAUCGAGGGAUUCCCGGUUUGCGCAGUAAAAUGGGCCGGAAAAGGCGGAAGAAGUGGAGAGUGUCCUAAUUGAUAAUUGGACGUGUGGAAAGUAUGCAUGUUCUCUAGAGUCUCAAACUUCAUCCAAUUGCAAGAAUUAAACUGUAUAAAUUUUGUGAAAAAUCUGAGAAAGAAAUCAUAAAAACCAGGAAUUUGAAAAAUCCUGAAUUUUAGUGUCCCACCAAUUGCAUGAUCGCUUAGUGGGUGUGUCUUACCAAUCAUGGCCCUGCGUCAAAAUAUGGGGCAGUUUCAACUGUAAUUUAAUAUGUUUCAGUCGAAACAAAUUGUUUUUUCCAUUAGAAACAAAUCACAUGCUCAAGCAAAAAAAAUUCUAAAAAUAAGAAAAAUAAAUCAUUUCGCCUAAAUAUCGAAUUUCCCAAUGUUUCGACGAGCCCACCGCCAAACUGAAAUUUAAGUGUGCCCUCCCACACUUUGAUUCCUCCCGGUGAUAUCACUUGACAUGUCUAGGCAGAUGAGAAGGCGUGGGGGUUGACGGAGAAAUUUCAAUUUGAGAAGGUACUUGUGAAAGGAAGAAAAGAUUCAAAGUUGAUUUUGUGACCUCAAUUGGGGGCUUUUUUUUUUGGUUUUUUUGGUGAGGGGUGUCAGAUUUCCAAAUAGUAGUGGUCUCGUGAAAAACUAACAUUAAACCUAUGAUGGUUGCAGAUUUGCGCAGGAAGAUCCGGCUUACGAGAAGGCAGUCAGCGAGUGCCACGUCAUACAGGAGAAGAAGGAUUUUGCGGAGGCAGUUUUGCUUAAAUGUAUUGAUAAUAAACGUAAGAAUGACCUUUCAGCCUAAAAAACUAUUCCUAAAAAAAACCAUGAACAAGUACCGCCUGGGGCAAAGAUUGAACUCAGCAAUUUUUCACACCGAAUAAUUUUGCAUUGCAGCCCUCUUCCCGUACAUGCAUUUUGCACAAUUUCGAAAUGUGGACUACACGCAUCGAGUUAAGCAGAUUUCCGAUUUGGCGAGAGAAUGCUCGCCCACACACGGCAGUCUUUAUGGUUCGUCGGGCUUUAUAAAUGACCCUCGGUCAUAGACAGGAAAAGGAACUUUUGUGGGGGGGGGGAGGAGGAAAUAUAUAGUUGCUAUUGUUGCCUUGGCACCCAUGUGUACAUAGCGGAGCUUAGGUUCAAAAAGAGAAAGUUGUUGGUAGCAGCCGACAGAAAAGCGGGAUCGCGUACUACUGGAAAACAGUCGAUAGGAAAACUCGUGAACUGUCGGCUGCUACGCGUAGUGCAUGGACAGUGAUUACUUGCAAAAUGUCGGUUGCAUCGGCUUCAGAUACCCAGAUGCUUUCAAAUCUAAAAAAACCAGUUAAAUGUCGGCUGCCGUUUUGCUCCCCGUGCCAAGAGAUCCCGUAGCGUGUCGGCUGCUUUGAUUGAAACAGGAAAAAUUAGCAAACCCCCCCCCCCCCCCCCCCCCCAAAAUAUAAUCUCAAAUAACUAGUAAAGUGUCGGCUGCAGUUUUUGAUGUAGCCGGGGGCACUUUAUAAACUUCCACGUCAUUUUCAUUGUUUUGCCCUCCCCCUUUUCCAAGAACUUUCCAUGCUCACAUCCGGUAAUUUACCUCCGUUUUACAAAAAGUUUAGAGCUCAUAAAUCUUAAAAUCUGAAAAACUGCUGAAAAUAGAAAAGUGUACUGAAAUUUUUAAAUUGGCCGACCAAACAAGAAUAAACAAGUUUAAGAGGUGAAAAUAUAAAUAGAGAUUUUUUGAUUCCUAAAUCUUCAAGGUGGCGAGUGGGCUCUCGAGAGGAUUAGCGCAGAAGGGUUCAAAGCUCGGAUGUUUGAUUUGUUGAUGCUUUGAAAAUUUUUUGAAAUUUGAUGGGAAGUCACACAUUUUCAAGGGGUCUAAGGGAUUAAAUUACUUUUUACUCUCGAAUUUUAUCACGCUGAAAAAGACACAUGCAAAUUUUUCAGGAUGUUACGACGAAGUCUACUCGAUUCAAAAAACGGCAAGCGUCGGCGAAUACCGUCUGCCUGCUCAUCGUCAUUCCGGGUAUAUUGUUAUUGGGUUCAAGCUGCUGGAGGAUGCUGGAAAACAGGGGAAUCUGGAGAAAACAUGGUUGCAGUGGAGUGGAGCUCGCGAAAUUUACAAGCAUUCACCGAGGUCGUGGAAUUUGAGAAGGAUCUCGUUGAUGAGGUGUCCAACGCAGUAAGUGCAGGGCCAGCGGCUGACAAAAUUUAGGCUCGCGAACUUUCUAGAAAUGUUUAGGAAACUUUUGGAUAAUGAAAAAGCAAAAAUUCUGAAGAAUACUCUUGAACACAUUUCUGCAAUUGCCGGUUUUAGAAAUUUUCAGCGAUCGGCAAUUUUGGCAAUUGCCGGUUUUGGAAAUUUUCGGCAAUCGGUAAUUUCGGCAAUUGCCGGUUUUGGAAAUUUUCAGCAAUCGGCAAUUUUGGCAAUUGCCGGUUUUGGAAAUUUUCGGCAAUCGGUAAUUUCGGCAAUUGCCGGUUUUGGAAAUUUUCAGCAAUCGACAAUUCCGGCAAUUUCCGGUUUUGGAAAUUUUCAGCGAUCGGCAAUUCUGGCAAUUGCCGGUAUUGAAAAAUUCUGGAAAUUUCAGAAACUUUUAGGAUGAAUCAAAUAACUUUCAGAAUUCUAGAAAACGACAUUCUAUAUGCAAUAAAAAACUUUGGGAUUUCGGAAUUUUCAAUUUUCAAAAAAAAUACAAGUAUUUAUUCGUAUGAUAUAUCACAUUGUAAAAUUUCCAACAAAUAAAAAAUUUAAAAAAAAAAUUUACAGUCACAAAAACGGAGUGGCUCAGCGACCAUUUGCCUAUAUCCUUAUGUGUGAGUACGGUAGCAUUCUGCACCCUUCAAAUACAAUUCAAGCACUGGAUAUUUGCGAGAGGCUGAGAGUUCGGAAUUGUGGACAUAUUGCGUUGUACCAGG